CCUUCCAGAUCAAGACCACAGUGAUUAGAGUGAGGAAUCAUUAAUACAAUGAAUUAUGUCCGAGUCACCCUCAUAGUGGCUCUUCUUCUUUCUCUGUCUAUUUCCUCCUCAUCAGGAUGGUCAGAAGAGUGCAAUCUCCCAAAGGAUGAAGGAGAAAUAGGAGUUAUGCUGGGAUACCGAGUCUACUACAAUCGAACAACAAACCGAUGUCAUCCGUUCGUGUACAAGGGUUCAGGGGGGAAUGAGAACCGCUUUCUAACUGAUAUGCAAUGUAUGAGGCACUGUUCUACCUUAGGGGAAAUGCUCUAUCCUGAUGACGAAAGAGCUUGCCUAAUGGAAAAGGAUCCUGGAUCCUGCAGGGCAUCCUAUACAAUGUGGUACUUUGAUCCCCUGGAGAGGAAAUGCCUCAAGUUCCUGUAUGGAGGGUGUGUAGGAAAUGGAAACAGAUUCCUCACCAGAAGAGAGUGUUAUCAGAGAUGUGCUCCAGAAUCAGGUGACAACAACCUGUUCUGGGAUGAAGAUGAGGAAAUUAACACCGGACUCAUUGUGGGAAUCAUCAUAGGAUGUGUGUCAAUAAUUGUUUUGCUUGUGACACUGACUGUGGUCUUCUUGAAGAAGAAGGAGAAAAAGGAGAAGAGGCACAGAAAAGAAAAAGAAACCCAACAAUGGAAUGUUGAAUUGACCUGAAAAAAGAAGCAAUUUGUAUUCAGGCUAAUCACAUGUGAAUAUACAGUUCUUUCAGCUUUUUAUAAACCCCAGGUUAAGAACUUUUGCAAGCCUGAAGACAGUUUCAAGAAGACAUCUCCAGAUAUAUCACUGGCAUGACCAUACAGCCUCCCUAGGUGACUGACUACUUUGAAAGACAGCACAGGUUUGACCAGCUAUAUGGUGCAGUGCUGGAUAAGGGGUUGAGGAAACCCAACUCCAAAUCCUGCCUGUGAUACUCCCUAGCUGUGUGACCCUGGGAAACUCAUUUAAUUUCUUGGAGCCCCAGCUUCCAAAUCUUUAAACAUAUGAAUACUAUCACCUAAAAUACUUAAGUACAUACCUACCAGAGAGGUUAUAAGGCAGAAGCCUCAUAAUGAGACAACAAUGUAAAGCUGUGAUCCUUAAACUGCUAUAUAAAUGUCCUUUGUUGUUAUUAUUACUUUUGGUGUGUUUAUUCUAGAAAUUGCCAUUUUUUACUUUUGCAGUCAUACUCAGGCUGCUAGUUCUGAAAAUUAGCAUCCAUCCAUGGACUUGUUACCAGAUUAGAGCGGUCAGACCUGGGGGCAGGGAUGUAAAUUAAUACAAUAUGUAUCAAUACAAAUUAAACAUAUGCCUUAC